rnacentral:tRNA from 1 species
GGGCGGUUAGCUCAGUUUGGUUAGAGCGCAGCGUUGACAUCGCUGAGGUCAUAGGUUCGAGCCCUAUACCGCCCA